AACGAACGCUGGCGGCAUGCCUAACACAUGCAAGUCGAACGAGACCUUCGGGUCUAGUGGCGCACGGGUGCGUAACGCGUGGGAACCUGCCCUUAGGUUCGGAAUAACUCCCCGAAAGGGGUGCUAAUACCGGAUAAUGUCUUCGGACCAAAGAUUUAUCGCCUUUGGAUGGGCCCGCGUUGGAUUAGCUAGUUGGUAGGGUAAAAGCCUACCAAGGCGACGAUCCAUAGCUGGUCUGAGAGGAUGAUCAGCCACACUGGGACUGAGACACGGCCCAGACUCCUACGGAAAGCAGCAGUGGGGAAUAUUGGACAAUGGGCGAAAGCCUGAUCCAGCAAUGCCGCGUGAGUGAUGAAGGCCUUAGGGUUGUAAAGCUCUUUUACCCGGGAUGAUAAUGACAGUACCGGGAGAAUAAGCUCCGGCUAACUCCGUG
rnacentral:rRNA from 1 species